UACAUGUGGGGCAAGCGUUGUUCGGAAUUACUGGGCAUAAAGGGUGCGUAGGCGGCGCGUCAAGUCAGUGGUGAAAGUUUGCGGCCCAACCGUAAAAUUGCCGGCGAUACUGGCGUGCUUGAGUGCGUGAGGGGUUGGGGGAACGAGUGGUGUAGCGGUGAAAUGCGUAGAGAUCACUCGGAAGGCCAGAGCCGAAGGGGCCCAACUGGUACGCAACUGACGCUGAGGCACGAAAGCGUGGGGAGCAAACAGG
rnacentral:rRNA from 1 species